UCGCUGAACUCGUAGCCUGGCCCAAGUAGUUCGCCAACGGCGAACAGUUAGUACGGAUCUGCCUCCGUUCUUGUCACUUGUGUUUCGCGUGCGCGUGUGAUAAAGCUUCUUAUUCAGAAUCUCGAUCGUUCAUUGUAAUAUCAGCCGGUGAGAUCGUGGUGAUAAAAUCGCAAAUACGAGAGAGUUGCAUGCAGGAUUGAUUGAAGAUUUACAUCGAGAU
rnacentral:lncRNA from 13 species